AUCGCUUCUCGGCCUUUUGGCUAAGAUCAAGUGUAGUAUCUGUUCUUAUCAGUUUAAUAUCUGAUACGUCCCCUACCCGGGGACCAUAUAUUAAAUUGAUUUUCGCUACAGGCCAGCCUAACAGGCAUGGUUUAAUUGCCAUUAAUUAAAAGCAUAAAUCUU
rnacentral:snRNA from 1 species